AGUAACGCGUGAGGAACCUGCCUCAAAGAGGGGGACAACAGUUGGAAACGACUGCUAAUACCGCAUAAGCCCACGGCUCGGCAUCGAGCAGAGGGAAAAGGAGCAAUCCGCUUUGAGAUGGCCUCGCGUCCGAUUAGCUAGUUGGUGAGGUAAUGACCCACCAAGGCGACGAUCGGUAGCCGGACUGAGAGGUUGAACGGCCACAUUGGGACUGAGACACGGCCCAGACUCCUACGGGAGGCAGCAUG
rnacentral:rRNA from 1 species